rnacentral:lncRNA from 1 species
UUGUGUGAACCGGCGGCGGCGGUCUUCUGGCCGUGCUGUCGCCGGGGAUUGAAGAGAGACAAGGAGGUCGAGGUUAGGGCACGGCGGCGGUGAGGAGUCGUCGUUGUUGCAGGAAUUCGAAGAGGGAGAAGUCUGAAAUUGGGGGUUAAGGAUUCGGGAGGAGAGGGUCGAUUAGGGGUCUGGGGUUUUAGGGUUUGGAGUGGAAGUGCGGUGGCUGGCCCUUCUGGCCGAUGGAAUCGCCGGAGUCGAAGGGGUAGCCUCUGGAUUGGAGGCUAGAGUGUACAGGCGGCAGCGCCGCUUGACCCACGAGCUGCGGCUGGCUCGCUAGGUUGUCGCCGGAGAAGAGGGGGGGAGAGCGAGAAGAGAGCAGCGGCCGCGGCCUGCUGCGGUCGCCGAGGAAGUGAACCGAGAGGGAGAGAGAGAUCAGUACCUGUGAGUGUGUGUAUGCGUGAGUAAUGUUGAAGAAGAAGGG